UUGUCCCUGCGGUGCUCGACAGAUCCAUAAUUCUUUGAACCAAUAAGCUCUGCUUAAGGUUGUGACCUUUGAUGUUGCUGUUGUGAAUGUCCCUUGCGGAUAUACCUGAUGCGACUUGGAAGCAACCCUCUUGAACCCAGGUUCAAGAUAUUGGGUCACCGGCACAGGCGGGGGCUUU
rnacentral:other from 1 species